ensembl:snoRNA Gm26085 predicted gene, 26085
CCUGCCCCUAGAAGGGUUACAGGUGGCUGCUGUGUCACAUGUGUCUCAGUAUGUGGCCAAGAGAGGCUCUGUCUACACUCAGUGUUCUAUCUAUGGACAUCUAAUAACCUAACAUU